GUUUUACAGAAGAAUUCUGGCUCCUGAUUGGUCGUCGGGUGGCGAUUAGUUCUCUAGAACAGCGGCUCUGACUGUAGCGCAGGUUUACAUUCACGCGCUCGUUCUCAUACCUUACCGUUACUACGGUAACAGUUCGUUCACCGGGACGUCAUAAAAAAAAGUAUGACGUCGUUCCAUAAACAAAAAAAAUUGCCAUCAGUGCCAAAUUGCUGCUGCAUCUCACUCUCUCUCACUCUCACUCUCACACACACACACACACACACACACACACACACACACACACACAGAGUGUAUUACUUAUUUAUAUCACUAUACGAUGCGACAGAUUUCCCCUUUUCCGUGCGCUGGUUCCUCUUCAGUACAGUUUCGGGAGGUUUUUAUGUCUCGCUGCAGUCACAUGUCUGUUAUCGGACCGCGGCCGAGCUUACUGCGCGAUUCAUUCACUUUAAAUCAACAAUAAAUACUCGUUCAAUCACGGUCUAAUCAACGUUAUGGAGAGAGACGUGCGAACGUGGGCUGAUGAACGGCGUCGCUAUAGACCUCAUGAUUCACGAGACACCAACGAGACCUGGUGGAUAAAACCACAGAAUAAAACGUCUAGCUUGUUACAUGAGAACUGAUAUUAAAUCUCUUCUCACCUGCUACUCGUUCCUCCUUUGGUUCCUCUCCAUCUUCUUGCACCAUGUGACGUUUCUCCUCUUCCAGAGUUCCAAUUUUACAAACGCCAACAUUGUCCAAAGGUGGCACCUCCUGGAUCAAACCACUAUCCACUUCCACAGCGUCCAUCCCUAAGCCGGUACCACUAUCCAGAUCCAUAACGGAGCUCAGAUCCAUAGGCUGGUCAGAGAUGGAAACGCUCUCCAAAGCCAAAUCUGAAUCGUUACCAUAAACGGGACGGUCCAGAAUCGCAGUCUGGCUCUGAAAUGGAGCUUCAGGAAAACUUGUAUCCAUCUUCGAGUUCAUGAACUCUGGUGGAGGCUUCAGAGAUGUCCAGAGGUCUUCCUCACACAUCGUCUCCUCAAGCUUGGUGUGAUACGGUGUUUCUCUGAUGCUCUCCUCAAAAGCUGUGAUCUCAGGUUGCUGGUCAAAAACUGUUUCUUUAAUCAUCGCCUCAUGACGUGGGCCUUGAAUGCUCUUCUCCGAGGUUGUGACCUCAAGUUUGGGAUCUUGAGAUGUUCCAUUUUUGCUCUUCUUAGAGGUUGUAACCUCAGGUUGUUGGUCUAGAACAUUUUCCUCAGAGCUGUUAACCUCAGGAACUUCAAAAGACAUUUCUCUGAUCGUCUCCUCAGAAGGCGUGAUGAGAUCAUGAUGGAGGUCAAGACAUGUUCUACUAAUGAUCUCUUCGAAGUUCAUGGCCUCAAGAUGUUCUUGGCCCACUUCAAGAUGUGGGCCAAGAGAUUCCACAAGUGUCUCUGUAGAGGUCGUGAGCUCAGUCUGUGGGUCUUCAGAUGUCUUGUUGAUACCCUCCUCAAAGGUUAUGACCUCAGAAUGAGGGUCAGUGAUGUUCUGAGAGACAGCAGUGGAUGGAGAUAACGCUUCACAUGGAAGUGACAAAAUUUCUAGGUCCUCACCAAGCUGUGUAGGCAUCUUCAUCCACUCCUCCUGAACAUCUUCAGAUUCUGAAGGUUGGUCAUUUUGUGCUUCAGAACCUACAGCAUAUGUAAUCACUGCUGUUCCUCUAAGGUUCUCCUUGGAUACAAAAUCACAUGGUGGUGCUACAGACAUGUUACUCACAAUCUGUGGUGCUUCUGAUCGCUCACACUGCUGAACCAGAUUUGGUUCUAACUUCGUAACCUCCUCCUUGGUCUCGAUGGUCUCUGAAGUUGUGUCAUCAAGGUGAGGAUCAAGGGGACUUCCCCUGAUCGUCAGUUUGGAAAAAGAACCGCACAGUAUUGUUAGAGGUGACUUUUUAGAACUUUCACACAUCCCCAGCAGCUCUGUUUCCACCUUCUCACCCGCCUCCACGAUCUCGCUUGAACCUGCAGGACGGCCAAGUUCCAGAGAAGCCGAACGCGGUUCAAGCGAAUCGCUUGUUGUGAUGAAACCAUCUACUGAAAAAAACUCACAGGGCGACUCUGGAGGUGUCUGAAAUGAGAGUGGUUCCCUUUCAAGCUUUGAUUCUGAACCACUUCCUGUUUCAUCGGGGUUGGAAUCAGACACCGUUAACCCUGGAGGAAGUGUUGAAAUUCGGUCCAAAACCAGGGGUGGACUCUGUGAUCUUACUGGAUCUCGGUUCGGGUCCACGGUAUCCGUGAUCUGAGCGUCUUUGGCGUCAGACUGUGGUUUGGUGCCCUCCUGAGGCGGUUCCUCGCCUCCACAAUGGGACUCGUUAAAUAUUUGAGAAGUUUCUUCUGAUAUUUCUAGAGAUACGACGGGUUGGACCCCGCUCAUCGAUCCUGGCGAGGAACUUUCCUCUGUCUCAGGAGGUAAAGUCUGAUCAACUCCUCCACUUUCCUCGGUCGUGAGGGGAACGCCGAGCACUAAUCCGUCAGGUUCUCCUAGUGGAUCGGUGACAUCACGAGGUGGCAGCUGUUUUACGGAAUCUGAACUCACCUGUUCUGACAAACCGGACGCUGUUUCUGGAGGAGCGUGGAUUGGGUGGCCGGCAGCCGCAUCGACAAGCGGAGGCGGUUCGAGACGUACGUUGUGGACCGGCCCUGGAGCCAUGUUGGGUCUGAAACUUAGAGAAAGCAAAUCUUCGCUGAUGUCUUGCUCCCGUGUUGUGCAGCUGGUGGACUCGUGUAUCCGUUCGAUGCUGCUUCCUGUUUCCGGGCUCCGGAUCGGGAUCUCCUUCCCUUUUUCCGCGGCGUUAACGUCUAAAUUUAAGUGAAAAUGGGAGAGACUUUUGCUGCUCGUUUGUCCAUCGGGCGACGGUGUGUUCUCGCUCGACAAAGAGGUUUCCUGCCCGGAGUUACGCUCUCCUUCCCUUUCCUCUGGGAAGUCCCCUCUCGCCUUGUUCUUUUCUUCAUGCUCAGGGAGGAGUCCCUGGGUCUGACCCAUCGUCCCAGCCUGCGUGUUGCCAGAUUGGAUUUUACUGUGCGUCUGCGUCUCGGAUAGAGCGUGGCUCCUCUGUGUACGAAGCGCCUCCCUGAUUGCUCUCAGCUCGCUAUCGACUUCCUCCUGCUGCUGCUGCUCUCUACAGGAAACGCCGCUGACAACCGCACAGUCCUCCUGCUUCCCGCCAGACACUCCCUCCCCCUCUAAUCUCGAAGUCCGUUUCCCAGAACCCGAACCUCCGCUGGACGCCGGUGCAUCACCCCCCUCUGACUGGGUGCUGCCAUUCGCGCACUUGGCGCUCUCGCUUUGUUCUUUCUCGGUGUAGACUUCCUGAAGCUCGCACACCGGCGGUUUUUGGAGGGAGGGGUCUUCAGACGGAGCGUCCACGGCCGUUGGCGAAUCGCAGACGAAAUCCCGGCUCAGGAUCAGCGGAAAGGACUGGAGCUGCUUCCGAGAUCCUCCCU
ensembl:lncRNA